rnacentral:RNase_P_RNA from 1 species
GGAGUGGGCGAAGGCGAUCGCUCGGCUCUCGUUAGCCGGGAGGAAAGUCCGAACUGGGCAGGGCACAGUGGUUGGUAACGCCAACCCGGCGCGAGCCGCGGGAUAGUGCCACAGAAAGCAAACCGCCGAGUUAGAAGUUAACCCGGUAAGGGUGAAAGGGUGCGGUAAGAGCGCACCGCACGGCCGGUGACGGUCGUGGCAAGGUAAACCCCACUGCCAGCAAGCCCAAAUAGGCAGCGAAGAGGCGGCCCGCCUCGAUGAACUCAGUGGUCGCGAUACUGAUUUCGCUAAGCUGCGGGUAGGGUGCUCGAGCCGGCGGGUGACCGUCGGCCUAGAUAAAUGAUCGCCACCGCCCCACGGGUGGCACCGGUUUCAAUCGGUGCUCGUGCGGCGGGACAGAAUUCGGCUUACCCGCCCACUCCACCU